AAUAAGUUCAUUUAUAUGUUUAUGUGUGCAAUGUUUGACCGUAUGUCUUAUUUGCUCUUUUUAUGAAUUACUAGUAUUUUUGUUGUUAUUAGAUGAUAAGAUAUAAAUAGUACUUUAUGCAUGACUUGUUUUUUAAAAAUUUUCAGAUAAGACGAACGGUCAAAAGUUAGAUAUAGAAACCUACCAAUAAACUUAUU
rfam:Oryza sativa Japonica Group DNA, chromosome 3, cultivar: Nipponbare, complete sequence.